UUUCCUCCGUGGAUAAUAACGGCUCAUGCUAAGGAUACUGAGACUUUCUGUGUUGCUGCAGAGAGCUGAGACACGAGGUCAUGCUGCCUGGCAUCAUCCUGCCCAUAUCUGACACUGAGACAGAGUAACAGAGGGAUUACAGGAUGGGCGCUCCUCUCCUGACAAAGUGUCCAUCAGGCAGGCCUUGGUGGCUCGUGGUUGUUGUUGGUAGGUUAACAGAGGGUCCGGUGGCCAGUGCAGAUUCUGCCAGCCUUCCAGGGCAGAUGGACGCCAG